GAAUAUUGCGCAAUGGGCGAAAGCCUGACGCAGCCAUGCCGCGUGUGUGAAGAAGGCCUUCGGGUUGUAAAGCACUUUCACUUGGGAAGAAAGGUUGCGUGUUAAUAGCACGUAGCUGUGACAUUACCUUGAGAAGAAGCACCGGCUAACCCCGUGCCAGCAGCCGCGGUAAUACGGAGGGUGCGAGCGUUAAUCGGAAUUACUGGGCGUAAAGCGCGCGUAGGCGGUUUGUUAAGUCGGAUGUGAAAGCCCCGGGCUCAACCUGGGAACUGCACCCGAUACUGGCCGACUAGAGUACGAGAGAGGGAGGUAGAAUUCCACGUGUAGCGGUGAAAUGCGUAGAUAUGUGGAGGAAUACCGGUGGCGAAGGCGACCUCCUGGCUCGAUACUGACGCUGAGGUGCGAAAGCGUGGGGAGCAAACAGG
rnacentral:rRNA from 1 species